rnacentral:sRNA from 1 species
GCCAGGCAUGACCAUGUAUGUGCCUGUAGUCCUGGCUACUUGGGAGGCUGAGGCAGGAGGAUCACUUGAGCCCAGGAGAUCAGGGCCACCUGAGCAACAGAGAGAAACUUAUUCUUUU